GCGCACAUUUACGCGCUGAAUUUAACAUUGGAGUCUAUGGGUUGCGCGCCGAAUGCAGUUUCAGCGCCUAAAGCACGAUGAAGCGUUGUCAGCUGAUUAUUCAUCGGCUGGUCGGCGCUGAAUUACUCGCGUAUUCGACGCUCACGAGUUGAAAUAUUCCAACUUUUCAGCGCGUCCUUGACGCGCAUACGCCGCGGCGUUUUUAUCAUCAAUCGGGUGUUUUGUUGAUAUUUAAAACAUUUGAAAAGCAUUUUUGAGAUGAGGUUAGUGUUGCUAAUAUUUUGAGUGUGGCAGUGUGUGUGUUCUGUGUUUCAUCAUCUUCCUACAUCUCCAGAAUAGCAUUAAAUGAGCUGGUAAGCUCUACAAGUGACACCACCUUAGUUGAAGCCGUGAGACGUCAUGACGUGCUUUGGCGUCCUCAGGACAGCAACUACUUUAACAGAAAUAAGAAGAAGCUAGCAUGGGAGGAGGUGGCAAAGACCACUGGGAGAUCAGUUCAGGAUGCAAAAUCGAAAUGGAAAAGUCUGCGUGACUACCACCUACGCAAACGCAGGCAAUUGCCAAGUGGCUCUGGCUGCCCGCCACCAGAGAACUCCUCCUGGCAAAAGGAAAUGUCAUUUUUGGAUGAUGCCAUCAAGCCUAAACCCUUUGUGUGUCUGAUGAGGACAGCAGCGAGACUCAACUACCAGACGACAGUGCUGCAGCGAGCUGUGCCUCAGGAGUCCUCCCAGCUGCGACGCUCCUCGGAACGCCUCGGGUGUCCGCGGUGCCACCAGCAGCGAGCUGUGUCGCCGGCCCGAGCCAUCCGCGCUCUUCUGGCACCAACGGCCAAGUCAAGCAGGUCAGGGGGCCGGGUGCUCGUGGCGCCGAGAAGCUUGACGCCGCCAUAGCGUCCAUAGAACGCGCGGUGAGCGACCUCCGUAACCCGGACCUACUAUUUGGUCAGCUGGUGGGGUUGGAGAUGGAGCGUGUGAGGGACGACAAGAAAGCGGAUGCGAGACUGGAGAUUCUUACAGUCUUGAAAAGGGCGCAGUCCGAUUAAAAGCAGGUGAUAACCUUCGCACGGGUGGGGGAGGGGGGACGUUUUUCACACAUAUUUGAUAAAAAAUGACCAGAAUGAUUCAAAACGAUCUUAUAGCCAGACAUGUGCAUGGAUCCGAGAGGUGGAUCUAUGAUCUGAGCGGAUCUCUCGAGCUUAUGGGUAAGAUCUAUGAUCUGAGUGGAUCUCUCGACACAGUUGAGGGGUUGGAUCUAUGAUCUGAGUGGAUCUCUCGACAAAGUUGAGGGGUUGGAUCUAUGAUCCGGGUGGAUCCCAGAUCUAGAUUCAUGGGAUCGAAUUUCAGAUCCAUUUUCCCGGAUCCAUGCACAUGUCUGCUUAUAGCGAGCUAUAUAAUGCCUGUUCGGCGUCUUUCCAGCUUCCUUUGAUUCUGAGAUAAUGUGAUGCGGCCAAAUGCGUCCCCUCUCCAUGCAACCUCCACCAUGGCGAACUUUGCUGAGCCUGAGUCAUAUUCUGCGUAGUGUGUAUUUCCGCUGUCUGAUCGCUAUAGCGACCCUUUUUCAAGUUUUGAUUUAGGAGUGAAUUCGUUUACCUGGUGUUUAAAUGUUUGAGCUCCUUUGCUGUGAAGUUGAAGUUGGACGUUACGUGGUUAUCUGACUUUGGUUGUUGGAAAGGGCGACAGUUAAUGUUAUUUAUUUCCACUACUUUCGCGUGCAAUAAACGACAAAGGCCG
rnacentral:misc_RNA from 1 species